rnacentral:lncRNA from 1 species
CCCCACUUAUGGCUCUGACCCCCCACUUAUGGGUCCGCCCCCCACUUAUGGGUCAACCCCCCACUUAUGGGUCCGCCCCCCACUUGUGGGUCCGCCCCCCACUUAUGGGUCCCACCCCACACCUAUGGCUCUGACCCCACACUUAUGGUACCCCCCUCACUCAUCGGUCCCACUUAUGGGUCCCACUUCUGAGUCAUCUCCCAACUUAUGGGUCCCACUUAUGGGUCCGCCCCCCACUUGUGGGUCUGCCCCCCAGGUUCCUGUGGCUGUGGCUGGCGGUGCUGGUGGUUUACCCCACUUAUGGGUCCCACUUCUGGGUCAUCCCCCAACUUCUGGGUCCCACUUAUGGGUCCCACUUAUGGGUCAGCCCCCCACUUAUGGGUCCCACUUAUGGGUCAGCCCCCCACUUAUGGGUCCCACCCCACACCUAUGGCUCUGACCCCACACUUAUGGUCCCCCCUCACUUAUGUGUCCCACUUAUGGGUCCCACUUCUGGGUCAUCCCCCAACUUAUGGGUCCCACUUAUGGGUCCGCCCCCCACUUGUGGGUCUGCCCCCCAGGUUCCUGCGGCUGUGGCUGGCGGUGCUGGUGGUUUACCCCACGAACCAGGCUGUGAUCGCGCUCACCUUCUCCUCCUACGCCCUGCAGCCGUUCGCCGGCUGCUCCGCCCCCCCCGAGGCGUCCGUCCGUCUGCUGGCCGCCGUCUGUCUGCGUCAGUCCCACCCCACAACCCCACAACCACCCCACAACCACCCCGGAACCAUAAAACCCCAUUAAAAGCCCCCAUAACGCCAUGAUAACACUAUAACCCCAUAAUGACCCCAGAACCCCAUAAUGACCCCAUAAUGACCCCAUAACGACCCCGUAAAUGAUCCCAGAUCCCAGAACCCCAUAACGACCCCAUAACGACCCCAUAACGACCCCACAACCACCCCACAACCAUAAAACCCCAUAAAACGACCCCAUAACCCCAUGAUAACACUAUAACCCCAUAAUGACCCCAUAACUCCAUAACGACCCCGUAAUGAUCCCAGAUCCCAGAACCCCAUAACGACCCCAUAACGACCCCAUAACGACCCCACAACCACCCCGGAACCAUAAAACCCCAUAAAACGACCCCAUAACUCCAUGAUAACACCAUAACCCCAUAAUGACC